GAUGAACGCUAGCGAUAGGCUUAACACAUGCAAGUCGAGGGGCAGCAUGGUCUUAGCUUGCUAAGACUGAUGGCGACCGGCGCACGGGUGCGUAACGCGUAUGCAACUUGCCUCACAGAGGGGGAUAACCCGUCGAAAGACGGACUAAUACCGCGUACACUUGGGAUAGGGCAUCCUGACCCAAGGAAAUGAAAUUCGCUGUGAGAUAGGCAUGCGUCCCAUUAGCUAGUUGGUGAGGUAACGGCUCACCAAGGCGACGAUGGGUAGGGGAACUGAGAGGUUGAACCCCCGCACUGGUACUGAGACACGGACCAGACUCCUACGGGAGGCAGCAGUGAGGAAUAUUAGUCAAUGAGCGAGAGCCUGAACCAGCCAAGUCGCGUGAAGGAUGACUGUCUUAUGGAUUGUAAACUUCUUUUAUACGGGAAUAACAAGAGUCACGUGUGGCUCCCUGCAUGUACCGUAUGAAUAAGCAUCGGCUAACUCCGUG
rnacentral:rRNA from 1 species